AAUUUGUCGCAAAUAAAUGUCAAAUAUAUGAAUUUUGCAAAUAAAAUUUCCGAAUAAGUUAAGUACAUUUAGAAUCAUCCGCGUAAAAUAUUUUUCUAUAUAAAUGUACGGCAGGUGAUUGACCUUUUGGAAGUCAAAACUCUCGAGCAUAUCAAAAUAAACCGACGUGUCUAUAUAGUUGUAUGAAAUCUAACAGAGUAGGUAUAUCUUCUUUUGAGGAAUGAAGUGUCCGUCGAUAUACUUGACAAAUGUCCGUUUUGUUAAGCAACAGUAUAUAGGUUCGAGUUUACAAUUAUCGAUUGUCAUCCGUUGGGCACAAAACGAAGAAAUCCACAUGCGGUCGUCCCACCCAACCUAUAUUCUGUCCGAAUGAUCCAGCUGAAUGCUAAGGGUGCUCUUUCAGAAAUCUUACCUACGAUUCGUCGCCAUCGAGAAAUUGCCCCAAUAAAGAGAAAGUAACAAAGUUUAGCCUUGUGGUCAAAGCAGCUUAUGCACGCCGAUGCUAACAAUGUGCCGAUUGUCCUCAAGCUUCGUACCGAUGUAAUCAGGGAAUAGGGGGACUGCAACUAAUUGUAAUCGCGUAACGGACCCGCGCAGAAUGGCGAGAGGCGUCACAAAGAAUUGAUUCUGCCAAUUGUAAUCUUGUAGGCAAAUUCGGCGCGGUAUCUCAUCAUCCGGAUUGUACCCCUCAAAUAUGAAAUGUAUGAAACGUAUGUUUCUGUCUCACCAAACAAACUGAAUAAACCAGAAUUAUAUAUA